UACGGAGGGUGCGAGCGUUGUCCGGAAUCAUUGGGCGUAAAGGGCGCGUAGGUGGCCCGGUCAGUUCGUGGUGAAAGCGCGGGGCUCAACCCUGCGUCGGCCAUGAAUACUGCCGCGGCUGGAGCACUGUAGAGGCAGGCGGAAUUCCGGGUGUAGCGGUGGAAUGCGUAGAGAUCCGGAAGAACACCGGUGGCGAAGGCGGCGACCUGGACAGGUACUGACACUCAACUACGAAAGCGUGGGGAGCAAACAGG
rnacentral:rRNA from 1 species